CUGGAGAUAUUAAAAGGAUCAUGGAGGGCAAGGGACUGGAAAAUACAGGUUGUUGAUUGGUCAGGGUAAGGAGGGAAAAUAAUCAGGAUGUGGAAACUGCACUCUUUGGUGAGUCAGCUCUUCCUGGGGUCCCUCAGACAGCUGAUGACAGUACUUUCGUCGUUCAGAGUUUUUUCCUUCUGGUGGGUUCGUGGUCUCGCUGGCUCAGGAGUGAAGCUGCAGACCUUCGCGGUGAGUGUUACAGCUCUUAAGGCAGAGCGUCUGGAGUUGUUUGUUCCUCCCGGUGGGCUCGUGGUCUCGCUGGGCUCAGGAGUGAAGCUGCAGAUCUUCGCAGUGAGUGUUACAGCUCAUAAAAGCAGCGUGGACCCAGAGUGAGCAGUAGCAAGAUUUAUUGCAAAGAGCAAAAAAACAAAGCUUCCACACUGUGGAAGAGGACCCGAGCAGGUUGCCACUGCUGGCUGGGGCAGCCUGCUUUUAUUCUCUUAUCUGGCCCCACCCACAUCCUGCUGAUUGGUAGAGCCGAGUGGCC
rnacentral:lncRNA from 1 species